rnacentral:rRNA from 1 species
GUGGGGAAUUUUGGACAAUGGGCGAAAGCCUGAUCCAGCCAUGCCGCGUGUGUGAAGAAGGUCUUCGGAUUGUAAAGCACUUUAAGUUGGGAGGAAGGGCAGUAAGUUAAUACCUUGCUGUUUUGACGUUACCGACAGAAUAAGCACCGGCUAACUUCGUGCCAGCAGCCGCGGUAAUACGAAGGGUGCAAGCGUUAAUCGGAAUUACUGGGCGUAAAGCGCGCGUAGGUGGUUUUGUAAGUUGGAGGUGAAAUCCCCGGACUCAACCUGGGAACUGCCUCCAAAACUGCAUUACUAGAGUACGGUAGAGGGUAGUGGAAUUUCCUGUGUAGCGGUGAAAUGCGUAGAUAUAGGAAGGAACACCAGUGGCGAAGGCGACUACCUGGACUGAUACUGACACUGAGGUGCGAAAGCGUGGGGAGCAAACAGGAUUAGAAACCCGUGUAGUCC